GAGAGUGAAUAGCCAGUCCUUGCUUUGGGUCUCAGUCCAGGCAUAAAAAAACAGACACAGAGAAGAUAAAACCAGUUAAGCUUCCGAAAAGGCGAAAAGAAUGUUUGACUCGCCCUGCCCUUGUGCUGCUUUUCUCACUGUAAGUGCUGUGUCUUUUUCACAGUCUACUCGGAGGCUUAGUGACGUGGACUAACUCCCAUCCCUGGGUGGCCCAGCACCCAUUACCACUGAGAAACAAUUGUUUACAAGUACUCACUUGAACAUGCGUCUAAGUGAGUUAAUGACCCAAUCAACUUGAAGCUGGGCCCGUGGCUGGUGGGAGCUCAGACAACAGAGCUCCGUGGACGCCCUCAGCACCAGUGGAGGGAGCUGCCCAAGCAUUGCUUGUUCAUGGCUGUGACUUCAUAGGGUACAGUGAUGAUUGAUGAGGGGUGCACAGUGACCCAGGCCCCCCAGUAGUUCAUCUGAUAGAAUGUCCACUUACAGUUAGUAAUCUGUGACUGUUAGUCGUUCCAAACUAUGCAAAAGCACCCCAACCAACUUUUGCUGCCUGGACUGCCAUUCAAUCGGGGUGGAGCUGUUGCUUGUUCAACUCUUCACCUUGACCUUGGAACUCCUUUGAUACCUCAGAGUUGGGAGGGAGCUGGCCAGGCCAUCAGGUGCCACUCUGGUUCUUCCCUGUGCCACACCUGAGCAGAAGGCCUUUACAGGGGGACGGGACUGGGAAUUUUUUCCCCACUUUUAUGAAGGAUUUUUUUAAUGAAGAUAUUUCUUAUGCUACACUUUCAAAGCCUUAACUAACUAUCAUUAUCUCGCUCUGUCUUGAUGGUACAAAACUGCACUGACCUAACACAGGCAAAUGCCAAUUUAUUAUAUUUGUUAUACCCGUUUAAUGAACUUGAAUUUUGCUGCUUUUAACUAAUACUUCUCUUUGGGACCAGAACUUCCAUUUAUGGCAAAUGGACCUCAACUGGGCUUUUGGGAAUGUUUUUGGUUGUCUGUGAUGUCCACCAACUGCAACGUACACUCUGGUUUAGAACGUGAGGGUACAUUUCCUCUGGAUAAAAUGACAGCAUAGCUGAGGACCCACGGGGUUGGACACCACGCCGCCAAAGCUUCAGCCGCCUCCUUGGGGGGUAUGUCCUCCCAGGCCCCACCUGGAGUGACUUCACUGGGGGCGAGGAGAGUUCUAGGUGACAAUGAGUCACAGCUGACUGAAUGGCUGUGCUGUGGGACGAGGAAGAGUUCCCCAGUAAAAGGAAAUAGAGAUGGGAGAGAGCAAUAGUAAGCUUCCAGCAGCCCCCUUACAUUUAUUUGGGUGGUAAAACACCACUUUAGGGAAAAACUGCCUUUUCUCUUCCAAAAAGAAAAGGCUCCUCCAGGAGAGAGGCCUGUGGUCUAGAACUCUAGCUCGGAGAAGAGACGGCUGGCUCAGCAAGGAGGACGUGCGGCCGCUGCCAGACCCCUCGUCUUCCCUCACCAUCGCGUCACAACUCCCACCCUUCCCUUCCUGUCCAUCUGUGUGUCUGGACAUUGCACUGUUCGUUCUGCUUUCCGUCAGGGCAGGAACAGUCAGAGGUCGGUGGGGACUUCCCUGCAAAUCUGCACGACUGAUCACUGUCUCCUCCUCUUCAAGACCUUUUGUUAUGGGCGAUAGGAUUUCGUCGUUUGUUCACUGAGAGCCAGGAGCUGUUUUUCUUCCCACACCCCCCGUGACCUAGUUCAGUUAUUCCUAGAUGCAGGCAACGCCAACCUGGAAACAAACUUCCAGAGAAAAGCAAACAUGGUGAAGACAAGGUCAGGUCAAGGGCCCCCCUAGGUAGGUAAAGUGCACAAGUCUCUGGCUGCCUGUUAUGCACUACGUGUGAAGCAGCUGUACCAGCUGGGCCUGGAGAGAGACUAGACGGGGAGGUAGACGGACAAAACCCGAGGCUGUGAGCUCAGUAACUCCCAUCGCAGCCAGGAGUCGUAUUUAUAUUGCUGUCUGCCUGCCUUUUUCUAAUCCCUCAGUCGCUGAUUAAGCAUUAUGAAUCCAUUUCAAACUGGAAAAGCAAGUCCCAGGAAAGUGUGGGUGCUGACACAGUUCACACCUCAUCAGACUCGCGGGUAUCCUGGGACAGCAGGACCCUGAUUCCUUCUGAGGGGGUGGGAGUGUUUCCAGGAGCUGUGUGGGCCAAGAGCAGAGAGUGAAAGUGGGGGGAAAGGGCCAUAGCUGGGACACAUAAGAGCUGCCCCUGAUUUUCCGCGUCCUGUUAAAUCUGCCUUCAACCGCCACCCCCCUUCACACACCUAAACUUUAAGUGUUCCCUCUCCGGCAUUGCCUCUCCAUCACUGCUGUACCUUGAAGCACGCCUGAACCCUAACCCAGAGCACAGUUCCUCUCUCCAGACCACUCACUGCCAUCGCCACGGCCCCACCAGUGACGCCCAGUGAGCAAAUCCAAAGGCCUCCAACCACCCUGGAGCACGAGAAGGCUGACACAGUGCAGCCCAGACGGGUCGUGGAGUAAAUGGGGAGCUGGCUCUCCCAUCUGCCAGCUCUAUGACCGUGGGCAGGCCACUUGACCUCUUUAAGGGUCAAUUAUCCCACCUGUGAAGUACCUCUCAGUGCCGCAGUGAGAAAUUUGAGUUAGUGUAGGUAAAUAACCGAGCACAGUGCCUGGCGAGCAGCAGGCAGGUGCUUAAAAGAUGGUACUCGUCCCCUCUCCCAGCUGAGCACUCACCCGUGUCUCAAGGCCCUGCCUGUUGUCAGAUGCUAUGUGAGGCCUUUCCUGAGCCUCAGACUCUAAUCCUCGUCUCCCGUCUUUUCCUCUGGAGAUCCACAUUCAGACUACAUUUCCUAUGCACGUACUUCUGUGAAGCCCCCAGACCAAUGUGAACCACGGGUUAAAUCGCUAUCCUUCAGUGCCUCAAAUACGCCAGCUUCUUUCCUACUUCAGGACCUUUGCACAUCCUGUUCUUGUUGCCCGAAAUGCUCUCUCCUCCUUACCCCUCCAGGUCUCUUUUUGAAUGUCACCCCCUCAGGGACACACGCCUUUCCCAACCAGCAGUUUAAAGCAGGCUCCCAUAUCAUUUUCUCUCGAGCACUUCCCACAAGUGCAGUUACACCGGGAGGAAGCUGUAACCCCCACAUCGAGCACGCCGCCUGGCACGGAGAGAGCACGGCAUUAAUAGUCUUUAAAGUGAGGAGCCUGUGCGAAGAGUCCGUGCUCCGAAGGCUGGCUGUGGGGUCCGGUGGGUGAGGCUUCCUGCACACCAAGAUACGUCCCCUCCAAUUUGUGAGUGUGGCUCCACUAAGGGCUGUGCCCUUCCCUCAGAAACGUGCUGACAGUGAAAAGUGCAGUCAAGAUGCCAUGAAAAUGGCAGGUGCUCAGUGACGGGGUUCAGGACGCACUACCCCAAACGAUGGUACCUUGGCCCAUUGAAUAUCAAGCUGAAGUUUGAGAAAACGGCAGAACUGGUUACGUCACUGCCGUUUCUCCCAGUUUUCACUUUAAAACCUCCCACGGGCAUGGUGCCCUCCCUGUGCCAGGAAGGAGGGGGCUUAUCCCCAGAGAGUGUAUCGACCCGAAGGCCGGCUAAGCAAACUGUUACUUCCCCGUUUACACACGUGGCCCAAACCCCUGCCUUGUCAAUGCUUCACUCACUCGGUUCGUCUAAAAGGUACGCAGCUUCCUGCUCUGAUCACUUCUCCGUCUUCCUUCUCUGGUGAAGGCUCCCGUGUGCAUGUGAAAGCCCAAUAAACGCGUGUGCCUUCCUCCCGUUGAUCUGUGAGUCGGUGUCGCAGACCAAGCCAGGGUCUCCGGGGUGGGGGUGGGGUGGGAACGACAACUUUCCUCCCGCCACGGUGACACAACGGGGGGUAAGUUGGACUGGCUCACGGCCGGGACGGGGGCCGGGACGGCGGCCCGCAGGUUCCGUCACCCCCGUCCAUUCGGCGCGGAGCGACCGGAGCCUGCGGCUCCCUCGGCCGACAGCGGCGGCCCCGCUUCUCGGCGCCGUUUGCCCACCCGAGCGCGGAGGACGCUGCGCGCUGGUCGCCAGAUGGGCCUCCGGCCACGAGGCGGCGACAUCAGGGAAGCCACGCGGACGUGCCGCGCACGCCCAGAGACGGCCCCACCGGGCGCCGCCAUGUUGGUGGCCCGGCGCGUGCGCGGCGCCUCCGGAAGUGACGCACCGGAAAGGGCUGCCGGGGUCGAGCCAUGGCUCGGGAGGCGGUGGGGCGGCCGCCGGAGGAGACGCUGUCGCUCUGGAAACGGGAGCAAGCCCUGCUGCGGGCCCGCGUCGUGACCCGGGACACGGAGGCGUGGCAGCGGGACCCCGGCUUCUCGGGCCUGCGGAGGGUCGGGGGCGUGGAUGUGUCCUUUGUGAAGGGCGACAGCGUCAGCGCCUGCGCCUCCCUGGUGGUGCUCAGCUACCCGGAGCUCGAGGUGGUGUAUGAGGACUGCCACAUGGUUAGCCUGACGGCCCCCUACGUGUCGGGCUUCCUGGCCUUUCGAGAACUGCCCUUCCUGGUGGACGCGGUGCAGCGGCUUCGGGAGGAGGAGCCCCAGCUGAUGCCCCAGGUCCUCCUUGUCGAUGGAAACGGGGUGCUCCACCACCAAGGUUUCGGGGUGGCCUGCCACCUCGGCGUCCUCACAGGCCUGCCCUGCAUCGGGGUGGCCAAGAAGCUCCUGCAGGUGGACGGGCUAGAGAACAACGCCCGGCACAAGGAGAAGAUACGCCUCCUGCAGGCUGGAGGGGACACAUUUCCUCUGAUGGGAGACUCUGGGGCCAUCCUGGGCAUGGCCCUGAAGAGCCACGACCAUAGCACCAAGCCCCUCUACGUCUCCGUGGGCCACAAGGUGAGCCUGGAGGCGGCCGUGCGCCUGACUCGAAGCUGCUGCAGGUUUCGGAUCCCGGAGCCGGUGCGCCAGGUGGGUGGGCCGCCAGGUGGGUGGACCAGCGCGCACCACCUGCCCAUUCCGUGCUUCCGUCAGGCUGACAUCCGCUCCCGAGACUACAUCCGCAGGACACUGGGGGGCCCAAGGCCCCCUGCACCGGGGCAGGAGAGGCAGGAGUGGGCCCCGCCCGGGUCCCCCAGGGCAUUUCCUUUGUGGCUGUCCACUGAGCUGCUUUGAGAAUGGGGAGAAGGUGCAUCUGAGACCCCAGAGCUGUCCCAGGGGCGGGGGCUGGCCACCUGCAUCAGGCUGGCCCUCUGUCCCAGGCCCUCAGCAGCCCGAGGAUCCAGGAGCCGGAAGUUGCAGAAACCAGAGGUGUGCCCCAAGGGAGGCUCAGAAGAGCACACGGGGUGAGGGCAGGCUCUGGAGGCCCCCAGCCCAGGCCCCAGAACACACCCGAAAGCCCCAGACCCAGGCACCCAGGAGGAG